rnacentral:piRNA from 1 species
UAUCUGGAGGUGUUAGGAUGAGUUUC